rnacentral:snRNA from 1 species
AGCUUUGUGCAGUGGCAAUAUCGUAGCCAAUAAGGUUUAUCUGAGGCGCGAUUAUUGCUAAUUGAAAAAAAAAAAAGAACCUAAACAUUGUUUUUCAUCCAAGAAAGAUAUAAAAAUACAUGUUCAUUCUACUAUGAG